rnacentral:rRNA from 1 species
GUCCACGCCGUAAACGAUGGAUGCUAGCCGUCAGCAAGCAUGCUUGUUGGUGGCGCAGCUAACGCAUUAAGCAUCCCGCCUGGGGAGUACGGCCGCAAGGUUAAAACUCAAAGGAAUUGACGGGGGCCCGCACAAGCGGUGGAGCAUGUGGUUUAAUUCGACGCAACGCGAAGAACCUUACCAGCCCUUGACAUGCCCGGACGGUUUCCAGAAACGGAUUCCUCCUAGCAAUAGGUCGGGACACAGGUGCUGCAUGGCUGUCGU